rnacentral:lncRNA from 1 species
AUCAGAGAUCAGUUGCCUGAGGGCAACAGUGUGAUUCAGUCAGAGAACCUUCUCUCCCUGAUGCAGCCUGAAGGAAUGACAAAUUAAAACAUUCGCUCAGGCAUCCAGUACAAGGCCACGCACUACCUUCACGGAGUGCCAGGCACUUGUAGGGCACGACGGUGCCAUGGAAGUACCUUCACUUCCGUUUCCUCCAACCGAAUGGAUCAGCCUCAGCUUCACGACGUGGGCAAUGGACAUGAUCCUGGCCUUCGCCUGUGGACUGGGCCUCUUCCACCUGUGGAUACAUUUCUUCCCACUCACCUCACCCUCACCUGCAGAGGGCGCCUCCACCACCACCAAAAGGCUGAGCUCAUGUGAAGAGGGUGAUGCACUCCUGGACAUAGGAUCAGGACUUGAGUCACAUCUGGCCUCAGGAAAUGACAAGGCAGUUCGGAGCUGAGCUUCAGCUUACUGAGGUGGUGAAGAGGGACCACAACAAGGCCAGGAAGAAAAUCAGGACCUUGAAAGGUAGGCUCCUUCCUUCCCCUGGACAGGUGACUUCAUCUACCCUGUCCCCAAGGGAUGACACCAAAUGAGUUGCAGACCAUGCGGCUGUGGCUGCAUGGAAGGAAUCAGAAGUGAAGACAUUGCCGAGGUGCUGUGCUCAGAAUAAAGCCAGGGACAACCAUGGUUGGCUGCAGUCAGGAGGGUGGUGUGGGUAGGACCAGAAACAUGCUGCAUGCGUCUGCAGGCAAAUGGGUUAUUUCACUUCUCUAAGACACUUUCCUCUUCCACUACACUGGACCUCCCUCCUCUCCACAGGGACAUUAUGAAGUCCAUGGAGCUCGGCGGAAAUGGAAGCCUCCGGUCUAUGGUCAGGUCCUAUCCCACAUGUGCCCAGCACUUAGUGCUUUGGGGCCUGUGGCCUUGUUCAGCAAAGCUUGAGCUCCUGUUUAGUUGAUCAUUUCCACAGA